UUUUAAAUUCAAAAAAAUAUUAUUUUGGUUCUGAACUCUUACACAUUACAUUUGUCCUUGAUCCAAAAGGAAAAGAAAAAUCAGAUCGCUUUAGCGACCUGGAAUAUUAAAGAAAGAAAAACAACACUAAAAGACACGUCCAAUGGGAAUACUUAAAAUAAAGAAAAAAUGACCAAAACUAUCCCCGUAUAUUAAAUAGUUUAUAUUUAUCCUUUAUUAUACUUUCCGUUCAAAAUUAACCCUAUGUUUAAGAUAGUAAGCAAAUUUUUUCCUAACCCUACCGGAUGUUUUUCAGAUCAUUGAGACCCCUCAAUUAAAAAUACCACGUAAUUUACCUCACCACCCCAGUAUCUCUCUUCCCCUUCGAUUUCUUCUUUCACCACCGAAAAGCCUCAAUUUUCCACCACAAAGCCUCAACAGUACAUUCAAGUAACUUAGAAUGAAUAGAACAUGAUAGACCUAUCGGGUAUUCUUCAAGCUUUUCCAAAUUCUUUAAUGGUGAUUUAGUCUCGUUUCAAAUACAUCUCCCAAAUCUUUAAGUAAGCACAACAAAUUGCCGAUGAGAACAAAAAUGAAAAUAAAGAAGAAGGUGAAUUAAAGAGAUUGGAUAAAGCGUACAGUUGCCGAUGAAGGUGAAGAAAUCAAGAAGCCUCAAAGCACCAACAAACCCAGCUAACAAUGAUACUCAAACUUCAAUGAAUCUCAAUACUUUUAUGUUGUCAAGUUUUUCUUUACAAAUUCUUCAAUGAUGCCAUCAAAGUAAUCGAGCAAGAUAUGAAGAGAAAAAAUAUUUUUGUGGCAUAAAGUAGGUGUCUUCUACAAAAUCUAACAUGGUUGUAUUGAGUAAAGCUUAAGGUAGGCAUACUUUGAUGACUUUUAAUUUCAUCGGCGACUUAUGUUCGCAUGAGUUGAUUUAAAUUUCUUAUCGGAAUCGGUGAAAUAGCUGGCACGUGAUGGUGGACGGCACAUAUGGGGUAAAAAU
rnacentral:lncRNA from 1 species